rnacentral:lncRNA from 1 species
UGGGUGAAGGGAUGGGAUAGGGUGAACCCAGGGAAGAGAGAGCUCAGUCCAGAGACAAGAGCUCCUGGGACCAUGUCUUAGUCCCUCUGGACACUAUAGGCCUCAAGCAGGGCCUUCCUAGGUGUGUGUGGAAAGGAGCCAACUUCAGAGAGCUCUGGAGAUGGAGUUGAGGCAGUUGUUGCAGGUUGUGUUCUCUGUGAGUGAACACUGAGACGGAGUCUGAGGGCAAGAUGUCUGUUAGGGAUGAACACCUGUGUGGGGAAGGGGGCAGCAGCAGGAGAGGGUAGAGAAAAAAACUCACAUCGUGAGGCAGGUUCCUAAUAUCCCCCAGAUGUAUCCUAAUAUCUCCAGAUCCUAAUAUUGCUGUCAGAAGGAAAUCCUUCCUUGAAAGAGGACCUGGGCAAUGCAGUGCCACAGGAACUUGGAAGGGUCCUCUUCCCAGAGGCACCUGGACAGGUCAGAGGUGGGUGAGCACAUCCAAGCACAAUAGAAUAUCUGGGUACAGGAGCCUCCAGUGGACAGAAAUGGCUGUUCAGGGUCUCAGAGGGGAGAAGAAGUGGCCUUGUCCUCCCCUGCCCUCAAGCAGAGUCAGUUCUGUUUCAGGCAGGCACUCAUUAGCUGGAGCCAGGUCCCACCUUCCAGGCUCAGGGGACUGUGUCUGUGCUGCGUACUCACAACCCUCACCGGGUCAGGCCAGGGAGGGUCUCCAGAUUAGAGUGACAGGACUGUUACAUAGUGGCAGGGGAGCCUGGCCUCCCUCUGCAGGGGAUGGGCAGUCCGUCAAGCCUGGAGGCUCCUCAUGUUCAUUUGCUCAUCUAUCCACUGAUCUAUUCCCCAGCCUGUCCAUUUACCUACCUCCCCACCCAUCCACUUAUUCCAUCUACCCACACACUCAUCCAUUUUCCCAGUCACCCAACCUCACGUUGGACCCCCUAUCCAUCUACCCUCCCAGCUAUCUUCUCCUUGGGCCUUACUGCCUCACUUUCCCAUUUAUUCAUUCAUUCCAUCACUCACCCACCUGUUCAGUCACUCACUCCUUCAUUCCAUGAACUCUGACUGAGUACUGACUGUGGCCAGGCACCGCACAGAGAAGGUGGGAGUUGAUCAGGUGUGAUCCAGUACUUGGUGUACUCCUGGAUGAGGCAGCAGAUUCGGAGAGAGCUGGGAGAACCCCGGAGAGCUGGGAGGACAAUGCCCUUGGGCUGGUCUGGAAGAGAAGGGAUUUCAACAAGCAGAAAUUGGGGGAAGGUGUCUGUUCACAGAACAUGUGGUGCAGGGAAUCAGUGGCUCAGCCUGGCCAGCACAAGGAGAUGAGUCUGGAUCACAGCCAGCUCCUCUGGGAAGCACUUUUUGCUGCAUUCGGGCAGCGUGUUUCCAGGCAAUGAAGGGUAAAAGUGGCAAAGAGACAGUCUUACUUGUCAGGCUGAGCAUGUACAGUGUCCAGGCACGCACAAGAUCAUUGCCACAUGCUGCUGCUCAGGAGAUGGGUGGCUUCUGCAUCAGGAGCUGGAGAUGAGGUCCUGGAGGACUCUGGCAAGGCCAGUCCCAAGUGGAGAUGGGUCCCAGGACCAGAGGAACUGUCCCAGAAGAGCAAGGGUUGAGGAAGAGAAGGUGCUCAAGGCCACCACCCUGGGCCAGGCUGAUAAAGGGAAGGACUGAGGAGGAGCAAUUAGAGAAGGGACAGGAAGGUGUGGAGUGUGUGGGAGCAGAGAUUCGGGAAAACAAGGUUGCCAGAUUUAGCAAAUAAAAAGGCAGGAUAUCCAGUUAAAUUGGAAUUUCAGAUAGAUGAUGAAUAAUUAUGGGUAUAAAUGUGUCUCAUGCAAUAUGUAGGUCAUAAGUAGAGUAAAAUGUUAUUCUUGUCUGAGACUCAAGCUUCCUGCUUUUUCAAUCUGGCAACCCUAUGGGGAGAGAGGAGUUCUGCAAGGGUGAGUGAGCUGGGUAAAGGGAGCAGGGCGCUGAGGAGGGUGAGCGUGGAGAAGAGGUGCCUGGAUCCAGCAAGAGGAGGGUUGACAAGGACCUUGGUGAGUGGAGUGAGGUGAACCACCACACAGUUGGGGGGGGAGUGUAAUGCGAAUGAGGUGUGCAUGUUGUGGCAUGUGAUGUGUGUAGUAUGUAUAUGCGUCGAGGGUGUGAUGUGUGUGGUGUGGUGUAUGUGUGUGAUACGUGUGUGGUGUGUGUGUGCGGAGUAUGUGGAGUGCCUUUCUCCCCAGUGCAGCCCACCAUGUGAGGAGAGAGAGGAGGCUCAGCACAAGGCCAGCAGGAAGCUGCCCUUCUGGGAAAGAGAGGCCUCUCCCCACCAUCCCGAGGGAGGGAGGCAGCAAGGACAAGAUAGGCUGUCACCAAAAUACCAGCCAAGACGGUUAUUUAUCUGGUGGCAUUGAAGGAAGCAGUUGCUCAAGGUCAUGCUGGAAAUCUGGGGCAGAGCCAUUCUUCAACCCAGGAGCCCCAGUUUCCAAAUCUAGCGUUUUCUCUCCAUUCAGUCCACUGGGGCUGCCGCUUCUGUUGGUCUUCUAUGCAGCAGUCUCUGUGCUGCUUUCUGUAUAUAGUGUACCAUCAGCAACCCCACCAUCUCCAUUUUCCCAGUGAAGGGACUGAGCCGCCACACUGUUUUCCU